GGGGUCGGCGAGAUCGGUGAAGGGGGCGGAUUGCUCGGGGGUUUUGGCGAGGAGGAGGUUCUGGUCGAGGGAGAGGGAUUGGGCGGGGAUGGGGACGUGGAGCUGCGAAUCGAUUAGGGUUUUGAGGGUGGCGACGGUGGCGGUGGAGGGAUCGGGGACGGUGAUGCGCUCAAGGCCAUCGCGGCUGCGGACUCGAACGAUCAUGGUGGAGGAAGGGGGA
rnacentral:misc_RNA from 1 species